UCUGCCUCUAUCUCUUCACUGCUAAGGUCUCUUUCUCUCUUAACCCUACCACUAGAGAAAGAAGAAACAGCACUAUGAGGAGAAGCUUGGCGAAACAAAUCAGCACCAACAUAGUCCUUACAACCUUUCUUGGCAUCAAUAAUCUUCCUGCUGGAACUCCGGUAAAUCUCACCAGAAAGACUCAAGCUAAGCGAAGGCUCAAAACAUGGCUUAUUCACCAUCUUAGGCUUUUGAUUAUUGUUAUUGCCAGGCUUUUCUAGGGCGGUGGUUGCAGAGAAGCCUAACCCUAGAACAAGGCCAGUGUUGCA
rnacentral:misc_RNA from 1 species